rnacentral:rRNA from 1 species
AGAGUUUGAUCCUGGCUCAGGAUGAACGCUGGCGGCGUGCCUAAUACAUGCAAGUCGAGCGAACGGACGAGAAGCUUGCUUCUCUGAUGUUAGCGGCGGACGGGUGAGUAACACGUGGAUAACCUACCUAUAAGACUGGGAUAACUUCGGGAAACCGGAGCUAAUACCGGAUAAUAUUUUGAACCGCAUGGUUCAAAAGUGAAAGACGGUCUUGCUGUCACUUAUAGAUGGAUCCGCGCUGCAUUAGCUAGUUGGUAAGGUAACGGCUUACCAAGGCAACGAUGCAUAGCCGACCUGAGAGGGUGAUCGGCCACACUGGAACUGAGACACGGUCCAGACUCCUACGGGAGGCAGCAGUAGGGAAUCUUCCGCAAUGGGCGAAAGCCUGACGGAGCAACGCCGCGUGAGUGAUGAAGGUCUUCGGAUCGUAAAACUCUGUUAUUAGGGAAGAACAUAUGUGUAAGUAACUGUGCACAUCUUGACGGUACCUAAUCAGAAAGCCACGGCUAACUACGUGCCAGCAGCCGCGGUAAUACGUAGGUGGCAAGCGUUAUCCGGAAUUAUUGGGCGUAAAGCGCGCGUAGGCGGUUUUUUAAGUCUGAUGUGAAAGCCCACGGCUCAACCGUGGAGGGUCAUUGGAAACUGGAAAACUUGAGUGCAGAAGAGGAAAGUGGAAUUCCAUGUGUAGCGGUGAAAUGCGCAGAGAUAUGGAGGAACACCAGUGGCGAAGGCGACUUUCUGGUCUGUAACUGACGCUGAUGUGCGAAAGCGUGGGGAUCAAACAGGAUUAGAUACCCUGGUAGUCCACGCCGUAAACGAUGAGUGCUAAGUGUUAGGGGGUUUCCGCCCCUUAGUGCUGCAGCUAACGCAUUAAGCACUCCGCCUGGGGAGUACGACCGCAAGGUUGAAACUCAAAGGAAUUGACGGGGACCCGCACAAGCGGUGGAGCAUGUGGUUUAAUUCGAAGCAACGCGAAGAACCUUACCAAAUCUUGACAUCCUUUGACAACUCUAGAGAUAGAGCUUUCCCCUUCGGGGGA